rnacentral:rRNA from 1 species
GAUCGCGGCGACGUGGGCGGUUCGCUGCCCGCGACGUCGCGAGAAGUCCACUGAACCUUAUCAUUUAGAGGAAGGAGAAGUCGUAACAAGGUUUCCGUAGGUGAACCUGCGGAAGGAUCAUUGUCGAUGCCUGUAAAUCAGACCGCGAACACGUGUUAAUAAGCUCCGCCCGCCUAGCGCUCGCGCUUUGCGGGCUCACGAACCCCGGCGCGGCAAGCGCCAAGGAAAACCUAAAGGAAUCGUCUCCCCCGAGUGCCCGUUCGCGGUGCGUCUUGGGUGCGCGACGUCCCUCAAAUGUCUAAACGACUCUCGGCAACGGAUAUCUCGGCUCUCGCAUCGAUGAAGAACGUAGCGAAAUGCGAUACUUGGUGUGAAUUGCAGAAUCCCGUGAACCAUCGAGUCUUUGAACGCAAGUUGCGCCCGAAGCCUUCAGGCCGAGGGCACGCCUGCCUGGGCGUCACGCAUCGCGUCGCCCCCCUCCAAAAUCCCCCGGGACUUGUGAGUGGGAGCGGAAARUGGUCUCCCGUGUGCCUUCGUGCGCGCGGCUGGCCUAAAUGAGAUCCUGCAUCGACGGAUGUCACGACCGUGGUGGUUGAAAACUCAAUCUUGCUGUCGUGCGCGCCUCGUCGUUUGCAAGGCAUCGAUUCGACCCAACGGCGCGCYUCGCGUGCCUCCGACCGCGACCCCAGGUCAGGCGGGACUACCC